AUGCUCAGAGGAUGGUUGUGCAGCAGGGCCGUGGGCCCUUGCUACACUCCCCAUGUCCCUGGGACGUUGCUCUGGAAGUUCCUCACUUGCCUGCUUCCUUCUUCCUUCCCCUUCUGCCCAGCAUCAUCUUCCUCCUUCCUGGCUCGACUCUUCUUUGGUGGGCAGGUGACCUCAGGCCUCACUGGGUGCAAAUGCACAAAGCCAGUUCUGGCUGUUGAAGAGCAGGAGUCAAUGACAGAGCCUGUGUGGCCUCAGCCUCUUUACUGCUGCGCUCUGACCAUGGGCCCUCCCGGACGGCGUGGCAAGGCUGGAAGAAGAGGCGACCCUGGUGAGUCCUUGGUUUUCUUGAUUUCCAAACCCAGGCCUGCAAGUCCGCCCUUGGCCUGAUACCCAGCCGCAGGUGCCA
rnacentral:lncRNA from 1 species